GUGGGGAAUCUUGCGCAAUGGGCGAAAGCCUGACGCAGCCAUGCCGCGUGAAUGAUGAAGGUCUUAGGAUUGUAAAAUUCUUUCACCGGGGACGAUAAUGACGGUACCCGGAGAAGAAGCUCCGGCUAACUUCGUGCCAGCAGCCGCGGUAAUACGAAGGGGGCUAGCGUUGCUCGGAAUUACUGGGCGUAAAGGGCGCGUAGGCGGACAGCUUAGUCAGAGGUGAAAGCCCAGGGCUCAACCUUGGAAUUGCCUUUGAUACUGGCUGUCUUGAGUUUUGGAGAGGUGAGUGGAACUCCGAGUGUAGAGGUGAAAUUCGUAGAUAUUCGGAAGAACACCAGUGGCGAAGGCGACUCACUGGCCCAAUACUGACGCUGAGGCGCGAAAGCGUGGGGAGCAAACAGGAUUAGAUACCCUUGUAGUCC
rnacentral:rRNA from 1 species